GCCUGUGUGGCUCAGUGGAUAGAGCAUCGGCCUGGGUACCAAAGGGUCCCGGGUUCGAUUCCUGUCAAGGGCA
rnacentral:tRNA from 1 species